rnacentral:lncRNA from 1 species
CUUACCCAAUUCCCACCUCACUCCUUGUACUCCCUAGUGUCAGAAAAGGUCCACUGUGAAGUCACAAGAGGCCCUGAGCUCUGUGGGCCCCAGGUGCCCCGGGAAAACUUGGGGGAGAAUGGGCAUCCCACCCCAGCACUUUCUAGGAAGAAGGGCAGCAUUUUGAAGGGCUGGAAGUAGAGGAAGGAGGUUGCGGGUAGAAGACUCCAUACUUUCUGUGACGCCUAUUCCUUAGGUAGGAACUUAGGAACCUCAGCUUGUGAUGAAUGUUUUCUCAGUAUCCUAUGCUGAAAACAGGUAGAUACUAAUAUCGAUCUUCAAGGGAGGGCUGUUGAGUAUUGAAUAAGACAAAAACAUGGAAGCAAUCAGCACCAUGCUGGAAUCAAGGCUAUCUGUAAUCACAGGGCUAUUUGAAAAAGAGAAGAAAAGGUGUCUUGAAAUUCAACCAACAUGUUUCAAUUAUUUGCUCCUAAGAACAACAGAAGUUUCAACAUUCUGCCAACAGAGUAACUCCUGGAAGAUUGGCACAGAAGAAGGCACAAGGAGAGCCUUUAUAUAACCAAAGAUAUUUUUGGACCAUGAAUUCAGAAAUUCUCGGAGCCACCCAUCAGUGCCUGAGCUUCAGUGAGUCCAUAUCCCAUGUCACCCACGGCAAAGGAGACUCUAAGACUUCUGAAGAGUUUCUUGCUUCUUUCCUGUGGGGCAGUGACUCCACUUCCCAGCAGUAAUGGAAUAUCCUGAAUUAGCUACAUUAAUGUUAGAACCAUUUGGACCUCACCCAGGACUUCAACUACAUUAUGCUAAAGUUACAGAACCCAAAUUUGGCAACUGUCUGCAUCUGAACAACAGAAGUUUCAACAUUCUGCCAACAGAGUAACUCCUGGACGAUUGGCACAGAAGAAGGCACAAGGCAAAUACCCAUCUCUGUACACCCUGUGCUACUGUGUCAUGUGCUGCUCCAGGCAACUCCAAUGGAUUGGCCACCCUGGCCAAUGUGUUCUAGUAUGUUACGUUUAUGUUCCCCUGCUUUCUACAAUCCUGUUCAAAGAGUUGCUGACUUAACCACAGAGAGGAUUCCAGAACCUGAGACACAGAAUAAACUUGAGCAAUCAUAGUCCAUCCACUUCAUUGUCUCAUCAAAAACCAAAGGUCCAGUGAAGCUCUGGAACUCAACGCUGUAAAGGAGCGAAGGAGCUUCUAUACAGAGCCUGGAUGCCUGUCUCCUUAUCCUACUUCAGUGGACUUGACUGCAAUCCGGAUUAUGCUGUUUUCUAAGCAUUUAAAAUAAAAUAAAAAGUAUAAUAGUG